UGAGUGACACAGAAACCCAAGCCCGAGGUUACUACCAAACACAGUUCCGCUUUGCCCUAAAUUGGCCAAAGCUCCCUCGAGGAAAGGCUAAAGCCUUAGCUUGCCUGCAAAAGCUGAGGAGGAGAAGCCAAGCAGAAGGGGCUCACUGUCUACGAAGACUUACAAACCCACGGUGGCAGGAAUGGAGCCUGGGUCCUUCUCUCCCAAGAAGACCUGAGCCCUGGGACUUGAGAAACACCAAGUGUAAGACAUCAUCAACCCCCAGGUGUUCUGAAGCCCCACUCCUUUUCUCUUUCUUGACCAUUGUGGCUGAAUGUGAAUCCCCACCUUUCCUGCCCUCCUGGGGACCUUAGGAAUUCUGCUCCUCACUGCAGGUGAGUCACAUCAGUAUCUAGAACACACAUUGCCAUUGCCUGCCCCAUCCUAGCACAGAGACUUCCCAGCCAUCCUUCAAUGCCAGCUCUCCGUGAACUUACCCCCAUCUCUUCACAGCAGAAUGGCUCAACAGGCAGGCCCACUCCAUGGUUAGGUCACCAACCAUGCUGGGUAACAGAAGAAGAGGCAGAGAAUGAACAUGGGAGAGAGAAAAGAAAUUUUUAGCCAGGUGCGGUGGC
rnacentral:lncRNA from 10 species